rnacentral:rRNA from 1 species
GAUGAACGCUGGCGGCGUGCUUAACACAUGCAAGUCGAACGAACCUUCGGGUUAGUGGCGGACGGGUGAGUAACGCGUGGGAACCUGCCCUCAGGAGGGGGAUAACGGCUGGAAACGGCCGCUAAUACCCCAUAUGCCGAGAGGUGAAAAGAAUUUCGCCUGAGGAUGGGCCCGCGUCUGAUUAGCUAGUUGGUGGGGUAAGAGCCUACCAAGGCGACGAUCAGUAGCUGGUCUGAGAGGAUGAUCAGCCACACUGGGACUGAGACACGGCCCAGACUCCUACGGGAGGCAGCAGUGGGGAAUUUUCCGCAAUGGGCGAAAGCCUGACGGAGCAACGCCGCGUGAGGGAUGAAGGCCUCUGGGCUGUAAACCUCUUUUCUCAAGGAAGAAGAACUGACGGUACUUGAGGAAUAAGCCACGGCUAAUUCCGUGCCAGCAGCCGCGGUAAUACGGGAGUGGCAAGCGUUAUCCGGAAUUAUUGGGCGUAAAGCGUCCGCAGGCGGCCUUGUAAGUCUGUCGUUAAAGCGUGGAGCUUAACUCCAUUUCGGCGAUGGAAACUACAAGGCUUGAGUGUGGUAGGGGCAGAGGGAAUUCCCGGUGUAGCGGUGAAAUGCGUAGAUAUCGGGAAGAACACCAGUGGCGAAGGCGCUCUGCUGGGCCAUAACUGACGCUCAUGGACGAAAGCCAGGGGAGCGAAAGGGAUUAGAUACCCCUGUAGUCCUGGCCGUAAACGAUGAACACUAGGUGUCGGGGGAAUCGACCCCCUCGGUGUCGUAGCCAACGCGUUAAGUGUUCCGCCUGGGGAGUACGCACGCAAGUGUGAAACUCAAAGGAAUUGACGGGGGCCCGCACAAGCGGUGGAGUAUGUGGUUUAAUUCGAUGCAACGCGAAGAACCUUACCAGGGUUUGACAUCCUGCGAACCUCUGAGAAAUCGGGGGGUGCCUUCGGGAACGCAGAGACAGGUGGUGCAUGGCUGUCGUCAGCUCGUGUCGUGAGAUGUUGGGUUAAGUCCCGCAACGAGCGCAACCCACGUCUUUAGUUGCCAGCAUUCAGUUGGGCACUCUAGAGAGACCGCCGGUGAUAAACCGGAGGAAGGUGUGGAUGACGUCAAGUCAUCAUGCCCCUUACAUCCUGGGCUACACACGUACUACAAUGCUACGGACAAAGGGCAGCAAGCUCGCGAGAGUAAGCAAAUCCCAUAAACCGUGGCUCAGUUCAGAUCGUAGGCUGCAACUCGCCUACGUGAAGGAGGAAUCGCUAGUAAUCGCAGGUCAGCAUACUGCGGUGAAUACGUUCCCGGGCCUUGUACACACCGCCCGUCACACCAUGGAAGUUGGCCACGCCCGAAGUCGUUACUCCAACCCUUGUGGAGGAGGACGCCGAAGGUGGGGCUGAUGACUGGGGUGAAGUCGUAACAAGGUAGCCGUACCGGAAGGUGCGGCUGGAUCACCUCCUAA